GUGGAGCAUGUGGCUUAAUUUGACUCAACGCGNGGGAAUCUUACUAGGUCCGGACCGAGUCUAUGAUUGUCGUACCGUUGGGUGUUACGUGAUUACUGGAUGAGUGGUGCAUGGCCGUUCUUAGUUCGUGGUGUUAAUUGUCUACUUAAUUGUUUUCAGUUCUACGUAUCUCACAGUGCGGAACUAUACAACGAACGAGAUCGAGACCCGUGGUUGCGUUGUGUGAUGCGUCAACGUAAACUACAGGGAUCGCGUAAUAUACCCAACGGUACGAUUGAAAGACUCGGCAAUAACAGGUCUGUGAUGCCCUCAGAUGUUCUAGGCUGCACACGUGCUACAUUGUGAUUCCGUAGUACUAUUGUGUAUGCGUAGAUAUCUGAUUCUAAGAUCCCCCGCAUCGAGUCUCAAUUAUUCACAUAGUUGGACUCACCGAUUGUAAUUAUUCGGUAUACUAACUAGGAAUGCCUCGUACUGCGAGGUUCAACGAGACCCACUGGAAUCCGUCCCUGCCCUUUGUACACACCGCCCGUCGCUCUUACCGAUGGGUGUGGUUGUUAGCAUAGUUGAGUCUCCCACGAGCGAACCAAUAUAUUUAUGACGAGGUGAAUCUACGCAUGCAACCACGCCUAAAGGAAAGAGAARUCGUAACAAGGCAUCG
rnacentral:rRNA from 1 species